UACGAAGGGGGCUAGCGUUGUUCGGAAUUACUGGGCGUAAAGCGCGCGCAGGCGGCUAUCCAAGUCAGUGGUGAAAGCCCGGAGCUCAACUCCGGAACUGCCAUUGAAACUGUUUAGCUUGAGGACGAGAGAGGUGAGUGGAAUUCCCAGUGUAGAGGUGAAAUUCGUAGAUAUUGGGAAGAACACCGGUGGCGAAGGCGGCUCACUGGCCCGGUACUGACGCUGAGGUGCGAAAGCGUGGGGAGCAACAGG
rnacentral:rRNA from 1 species